CACCGCCUGGGGAGUACGACCGCAAGGUUAAAACUCAAAUGAAUUGACGGGGACCCGCACAAGUAGUGGAGCAUGUGGUUUAAUUCGAAGAUACGCGCAGAACCUUACCAACACUUGACAUGUUCGUCGCGACUUUAAGAGAUUAAAGUUUUCGGUUCGGCCGGACGAAACACAGGUGCUGCAUGGCUGUCGUCAGCUCGUGUCGUGAGAUGUUGGGUUAAGUCCCGCAACGAGCGCAACCCUCACUUUUAGUUGCCAUCAUUAAGUUGGGCACUCUGAAAGAACUGCCAGUGAUAAGCUGGAGGAAGGUGGGGAUGACGUCAAGUCCUCAUGGCCCUUACGUGUUGGGCUACACACGUGCUACAAUGGUAUCUACAACAGGAAGCAAGACGGCGACGUUAAGCAAAUCCUUAAAAGAUAUCUCAGUUCGGAUUGCACUCUGCAACUCGAGUGCAUGAAGCUGGAAUUACUAGUAAUCGUGGAUCAGCGUGCCACGGUGAAUGCGUUCCCGGGUCUUGUACACACCGCCCGUCACACCAUGGGAGCUGGUUCUACCUUAAGGCAAGGUUUUAAACCCUUGACCACGGUAUAGUCAGCGACUGGGGUGAAGUCGUAACAAGGUAGCCGUAGGGGAACCUGCGGCUGGAUUACCUCCUUUCUAAGGAUGAAUGAAAGUAAAAUUUCAUUCUAAAUAAUAUACAGGUAAUGUUGACCGUCCUCAUUUCUCUUCUUAAAGUAGUGUUUCUCUUGCAUGGGGGCCGGUAGCUCAGUUGGUUAGAGCACACCCUUGAUAAGGGUGGGGUCGAAAGUUCGAGUCUUUCUCGGCCCACCAAAUUUAUGGGGGAUUAGCUCAGCUGGGAGAGCGCCUGAUUUGCAUUCAGGAGGUCAGCGGUUCGAUCCCGCUAUCCUCCACCAGAAACACUUAGUUAUUUUUUUUGUGAAUAUUUUAAUUAUUAUCAAUAUCUAUAUCCGAUUGUUCAUAUAAUUUUAUUGAACAAUCAAUGAAUGUUCGAAUAGAUGAACAUUCCAACAAAAUUUGAUUCAACACAGAAUUUUUUUCUG
rnacentral:sRNA from 1 species